rnacentral:rRNA from 1 species
CGGGCUUUAAAAAUAAUUGAUUGCUUUUGUUAAAUUCUAGUAUUAAGCAAGAAACGCAAGUUUCAAGAGCUCUGGUGGGAGCGGUCAUUAAAGAAUUCAAACCUCUUUAGUGAUUGUCUUCUAUUUAUGGUGAGUCAUGAAAGUGAUUUCUCAUAAAUAGAUGGAAAGUCGUCGCAAGGCGUCCUUCUAUUCAUUAUUCUCUUGGGACCUCUGCUCUUGUGACCUAGUUUAAAGACAUUGUCAGGUGGGGAGUUUGGCUGGGGCGGCACAUCUGUUAAAAAUACGCAGGUGUCCUAAGAUAAGCUCAAUGAGAACAGAAAUCUCAUGUAGAACAUAAGGGUAAAAGCUUAUUUGAUUUUGAUUUUCAGUACAAAUACAAACUGUGAAAGCAUGGCUUAGCG